UUUUUUUUAAAUGGAUUUAGUGUUGUAUUAUAGACACCUUCCCAAAGUGAGUUAAGAAAUUAUUUAUUCGAACUCUGUGUCUCCUAUUUUUUAAUUUAAGUUAAUAAGUCGUAGGCUGGUUUUGGAUAAAAAAUUUACUCAAAAUAUUUCAUAAUAUUAAAUGGUCUAUAGUGUCGUAUGCUUUAGCUAAAUCUAGGGAGACAGUUGCGCAUUUUUUUUUUACUUUCAUAUGGUAUAUUUUUGUAAAAUAUAUUUAUACUUAUUAUAAGUUGAGGAUUUCAUUUAUAUUGUAAAAUUGUA